CUACAACCAUUGGUGGACUCGGUAGCCGCCAAGCUGCCCACCUGGAAAGCAUGGCUCAUGAAUAAGGCUGGGCGCCUUGCUCUGGUCAAGUUAGUGCUCAGUGCUAUCCCCGUACAUCAGAUGCUGGCAUUCGCCCCUUCAAAGAAGACUCUUAAGCAGCUAGAGAAGAUCCAGAGGGGAUUCCUAUGGGCUGCACGUGCCAUUGCCAAAGGAGGGCACUGCCAUGUCAACUGGCGACACGUUUGCCGCCCCAUCGAGUACGGAGGACUAGGGGUGCGAGAUCUGGAGCGCGCCGGGAUGGCGCUUCGGCUUCGA
rnacentral:rRNA from 1 species